UACGUAGGGUGCAAGCGUUGUCCGGAUUUAUUGGGCGUAAAGAGCGUGUAGGCGGCCAGACAGGUCCGUUGUGAAAACUCGAGGCUCAACCUCGAGACGCCGAUGGAAACCGUCUGGCUAGAGUCCGGAAGAGGAGAGUGGAAUUCCUGGUGUAGCGGUGAAAUGCGCAGAUAUCAGGAAGAACACCCGUGGCUAAGGCGGCUCUCUAGUACGGUACUGACGCUGAGACGCGAAAGCGUGGGGAGCGAACAGG
rnacentral:rRNA from 1 species